rnacentral:rRNA from 1 species
AGUGAACGCUGGCGGUAGGCCUAACACAUGCAAGUCGAACGGCAGCACAGUAAGAGCUUGCUCUUACGGGUGGCGAGUGGCGGACGGGUGAGGAAUACAUCGGAAUCUACUUUUUCGUGGGGGAUAACGUAGGGAAACUUACGCUAAUACCGCAUACGACCUACGGGUGAAAGCAGGGGAUCUUCGGACCUUGCGCGAUUGAAUGAGCCGAUGUCGGAUUAGCUAGUUGGCGGGGUAAAGGCCCACCAAGGCGACGAUCCGUGGCUGGUCUGAGAGGAUGAUCAGCCACACUGGAACUGAGACACGGUCCAGACUCCUACGGGAGGCAGCAGUGGGGAAUAUUGGACAAUGGGCGCAAGCCUGAUCCAGCCAUACCGCGUGGGUGAAGAAGGCCUUCGGGUUGUAAAGCCCCUUUGUUGGGAAAGAAAAGCAGCAGGUUAAUACCCCGCUGUUCUGACGGUACCCAAAGAAUAAGCACCGGCUAACUUCGUG